rnacentral:rRNA from 1 species
UACGAGGGGGGCGAGCGUUGUUCGGAAUUAUUGGGCGUAAAGGGUGCGUAGGCGGUUCCGCAAGUCCUGUGUGAAAUCUUCGGGCUCAACUCGAAGUCUGCACGGGAAACUGCGGGGCUUGAGUGUGGGAGAGGUGAGUGGAAUUCCCGGUGUAGCGGUGAAAUGCGUAGAUAUCUGGAAGAACACCAAUGGCGAAGGCAAUGUUCUGGCUCGUUUCUGACGCUCAGGUGCGAAAGCCAGGGGAGCGAACGGG